UACGUAGGUGGCGAGCGUUGUCCGGAUUUACUGGGCGUAAAGAGCGCGCAGGCGGUCGUUCAAGUCGCGUGUGAAAGCCCCCGGCUCAACUGGGGAGGGUCACGCGAUACUGAUCGACUCGAAGGCAGGAGAGGGUAGUGGAAUUCCCGGUGUAGUGGUGAAAUGCGUAGAUAUCGGGAGGAACACCAGUGGCGAAGGCGACUACCUGGCCUGUUCUUGACGCUGAGGCGCGAAAGCAAGGGGAGCAAACGGG
rnacentral:rRNA from 1 species